AGCUAAUACUUGCUUUAGCACUCUUGAUUAAGUUCUUGAGUGUGUACUUGUUAAGCCUUUUAAGAAAAAAGUUAUUAACUUAAGGAAUUAUAACAAAGAAGUAACACGUAAUGGAUCCGUCCAUUUUUAGUGUGUAUCAAUCGAGUUUCUGACUUAUCAGCUUUUGAUGUUAGGGUAUUGGCCUAACAUGGCUAUGACGGGUAACGGGGAAUUAGAGUUCGAUUCCGGAGAGGGAGCCUGAGAAAUAGCUACCACAUCUAAGGAAGGCAGCAGGCGCGUAAAUUACCCAAUUCUAAAGAAGAGAGGUAGUGACAAGAAAUAACAAUACAAGGCCAAUCUGGCUUUGUAAUUGGAAUGAUGGGAAUUUAAAACCUUCCCAAAACUCAAUUGGAGGGCAAGUCUGGUGCCAGCAGCCGCGGUAAUUCCAGCUCCAAUAGCGUAUAUUAAAAUUGUUGCAGUUAAAACGCUCGUAGUUGAAUUUCAAAGAAUCGAUAUUUUAAGUAACGCUUUUAGCUUAAUCCACAUAACUGAUACUACGUAUCGACUUUGUGCGCAUUUUGCUAUUAUGUGUUCUUUUAAUUAAAAUGAUUCUUUUUAAGGUCUUUCUUUUGCUCCGGCAUUUGAAGAUCUUGUUACUUUGAGUAAAUUAGAGUGUUCAAAGCAAACAGAUAUAGCAUUGCGCGUUUGAAUACUACAGCAUGGAAUAACAAAAUUGAACAAGUCAGAAUUUUGUUCUUUUUUCUUAUUUUGGCUUAGUUACGAUUAAUAGGAGUAGCUUGGGGGCAUUUGUAUUCAGAUGUCAGAGGUGAAAUUCUUAGAUUUUCUGGAGACAAACAACUGCGAAAGCAUUUGCCUAAAAUACUUCCAUUAAUCAAGAACGAAAGUUAAGGGAGUGGAGACGAUCAGAUACCGUCGUAAUCUUAACCAUAAACUAUGCCGACUAGGCUUUGGAUGAAAGAUUUUAAAAUAAGA
rnacentral:rRNA from 1 species